AGUGAACGCUGGCGGCAGGCCUAAUACAUGCAAGUCGAACGGCAGCACAGUGGAGCUUGCUCCAUGGGUGGCGAGUGGCGGACGGGUGAGGAAUACAUGGGAAUCUGCCCAGUCGUGGGGAUAACGUAUGGAAACGUACGCUAAUACCGCAUGCGCCCUUCGGGGAAAGGUCGGGACCGCAAGGCCUGACGCGAUUGGAUGAGCCCAUGUUCGAUUAGCUAGUUGGCGGGGUAACGGCCCACCAAGGCGACGAUCGAUAGCUGGUCUGAGAGGAUGAUCAGCCACACUGGAACUGAGACACGGUCCAGACUCCUACGGGAGGCAGCAGUAGGGAAUAUUGGACAAUGGGCGCAAGCCUGAUCCAGCCAUGCCGCGUGAGUGAAGAAGGCCCUCGGGUUGUAAAGCUCUUUUGUUGGGGAAGAAAAGCAGUUGGUUAAUACCCGAUUGUUCUGACGGUACCCAAAGAAUAAGCACCGGCUAACUUCGUGCCAGCAGCCG
rnacentral:rRNA from 1 species